rnacentral:SRP_RNA from 1 species
ACCAGGUGUGGUGGGACACGCCGCAAUCCCUGCUCCUGCAGAGGCGGAGGCUGGUGGAUCCCUUGGGCUCAGGUAUUCUGAAGUGCAGUGGCUAGGUUGAUCAGGUGUCUGCAUGAAGUCCAGAACCAACAUGGUGAGCCCUAAGAGCCAGGGCCACCAGGCUCCCUAAUGGUGGGUGAACCAGCCACGGUCAGAAAUGGAGCAGGUCAAACUCCCACGCUGAUCAGCAUUGGGGUGGAACCCUGUACUUCCAGCCUGGGGGAGAUGGGGAGAUCCAAUUUCU